rnacentral:rRNA from 1 species
GGAGGCGAACCCGCUGAACUGAAACAUCUAAGUAGGCGGAGGAGAAGAAAACAAAAGUGAUUCCGUAAGUAGUGGCGAGCGAACGCGGAAUAGCCCAAACCAAAGUUGUUACGGCAAUUUUGGGGUUGUAGGACCACGAGAUUUCUUGCGGAUUUAAUAAGAAUUACCUGGAAAGGUAAACCGAAGAGGGUGAUAGUCCCGUAUUGGUAAGAGAAGAUAAGAAUAGUGGUAUCCUGAGUAGGUCGGGGCACGUGAAACCUUGAUUGAAACUGGCGGGACCAUCCGCUAAGGCUAAAUACUCCUGAGAGACCGAUAGUGAACCAGUACCGUGAGGGAAAGGUGAAAAGAACCGUGAAUAACGGAGUGAAACAGAUCCUGAAACCAUACGCCUACAAGCGGUCGGAGCCCCUUAGUGGGGUGACGGCGUGCCUUUUGCAUAAUGAGCCUACGAGUUACCGUUGCUGGCAAGGAUAAGUGAUUAAGUCAUGGAUCCGUAGCGAAAGCGAGUCUUAAUAGGGCGCUUAAGUCAGUAGUGGUAGACGCGAAACCGUGUGAUCUACCCAUGGGCAGGUUGAAGUUUAGGUAACACUAAAUGGAGGACCGAACCGUUUAACGCUGAAAAGUUUUCGGAUGACCUGUGGGUAGGGGUGAAAGGCCAAUCAAACUCGGAAAUAGCUCGUACUCCCCGAAAUGCAUUUAGGUGCAGCGAUGAUCGAUAGUUACUUAGAGGUAGAGCUACUGAUUGGAUGCGGGGGCUUCACCGCCUACCAAUUCCUGACAAACUCCGAAUGCUAAGUAAUGAUAAUCAUCAGUGAGGGCAUGGGUGCUAAGGUCCAUGUCCGAGAGGGAAAGAACCCAGACCAUCAGCUAAGGUCCCCAAAUGUAUGCUAAGUUGAAAAAACGCGGUUUGAUUGCCCAGACAGCUAGGAUGUUGGCUUGGAAGCAGCCAUUCAUUUAAAGAGUGCGUAACAGCUCACUAGUCGAGCGAUCGAGCAUGGAUAAUAAUCGGGCAUAAGUAUACUACCGAAGCUAUGGAUUUGCGCAUUUAGUUGCGUGAGUGGUAGGGGAGCAUUCUAACGGCGCAGAAGGUGAUUUGUGAGAAUUGCUGGAGCUUUUAGAAAAGAAAAUGUAGGCAUAAGUAACGAUAAGGGGUGCGAGAAACACCCCCGCCGUAAGACUAAGGUUUCCUCAGCUAUGCUAAUCAGCUGAGGGUUAGUCGGGACCUAAGGCACACCCGAAGGGGGACGUCGAUGGCCAACGGGUUAAUAUUCCCGUACUACUGAUAAUUGUGAUGGAGUGACACAGUGAUGAAAGCACCGCGAACUGACGGAAUAGUUCGUUGAAGCACGUACCUAUAGGUUUGAUAGUAAAAUGCGUCAGACUUGGAGAAAUGCGAUAGUACUUUGAGUCUUCGGACAACGAGAUAGUGUGCCUAAGGGCUGUCAAGAAAAGCUUCUAAACUUAGAUUAUUAGUACCCGUACCGUAAACCGACACAGGUAGUCGAGGAGAGUAUCCUAAGGCGCUCGAGAGAUUCAUGGCUAAGGAACUAGGCAAAAUAGACCUGUAACUUCGGGAGAAAGGUCGCCAGCGCAAGCUGGCCGCAGUGAAAAGGUCCAGGCGACUGUUUAUCAAAAACACAGGGCUCUGCAAAAUCGUAAGAUGACGUAUAGGGCCUGACACCUGCCCGGUGCUGGAAGGUUAAGAGGAGAUGUUAUC